rnacentral:rRNA from 1 species
GAUGAACGCUGGCGGCGUGCCUAAUACAUGCAAGUCGAGCGAACAGACGAGGAGCUUGCUCCUCUGACGUUAGCGGCGGACGGGUGAGUAACACGUGUAUAACCUACCUAUAAGACUGGGAUAACUUCGGGAAACCGGAGCUAAUACCGGAUAAUAUAUUGAACCGCAUGGUUGAAUAGUGAAAGACGGUUUUGCUGUCACUUAUAGCUGGAUCCCCGCCGCAUGAGCUAGUUGUUAAGGUAACGGCUUAUCAAGGCGACGAUGCGUAGCCGACGUGAGAGGGUGAUAGGCCACACGGGAGCUGAGACACGGUCCAGGCUCCUGCGAGAGGCAGCAGAAGGGAAUCUGCCGCAAUGGGCGAAAGCAUGACGGAGCAACGCCGAGUGAGUGAUGAAGGUCCUCGGAUCGUAAAGCUCUGUUAUUAGGGAAGAACAAAUGUGGACGUAACUGUGCACGUCUUGACGGUACCUAAUCAGAAAGCAACGGCUAACUACGUG